GAAACUCAGAAAGCAUAUAGGGAAGCCUAUAGUAUAGACUGUUCUUUCAUGUAAAUUAUCAUGACGACCAAAAACGCCUUCAUCAUCCACAGAACUACCAGACACAGCAUGUGAAUUUUAUCUUUCCAAUUCCGUCUCAUAUGCAGAGGUGGGAGGUACUAAACAGGAAUAAGAAAUUCAAGGGGAUCCUUGUUCAUGAACCUUGAAGCAGGCGAGUAUAUCGAUCAAGAUAUGAUACCUUCAACAUAUCACUGAACCGAAAGUAGAGGGCUUGAGCAUGCACGUGCUGGCCAUUAGCUUUGUUAUUAAUCUAUGGAAUACGUAAAUCUGAACCAUGCCCCGGAUGAAAGCUGAGAAACUGAGACAAUAUUAUGAAGCGAAUAAAAUUUAUUAAGCCGAGGAUAGAUACAACCAUGUCUCUCACGUGCACCCAAAGAAAAAAAAAAAAGAGUGAAAUGCAUAAGAUGUAGGAAUGACCAAUCAGGUUAAUCGACUUGAUUCAGAGCAGACUAUUAUUUCGAGGGAACAUAAAAUUGUCAAGAGAAGGAAGAAAUAGCACAAAUAGCUCGAAGGUAGGGACUCAGUAAAGGUAAAAAGCAAAGAAAAACACUAUCAAAAAAGAAAAAUCAAGGGGUAAAGGUCUCGUGUAUAUACGAGUUCCCCUGCUUCCUCUACGCAUAUGCAAAUGGAUUGCCAGACGUAUCAAACAUUGUCCCUAACCAUUAGCUUAGACCAGCGGGACAAU
rnacentral:misc_RNA from 1 species